rnacentral:lncRNA from 1 species
AUCAUAUAUUCUACAUUUGUUCACCAGUUCAGGAAACCGACGAAUCUGUUGAUACCUGAUGUCCUGCUUGAUCUUAGGAUGCAACCCAUUCUCAAACUUGAUACAUUUGGAAACCUCUGCAGUUGCAUCAUUGUAGUGUGGACAGAAUUUCACAAUUUCCUCGAACUUAGCAGCAUAUUCAACAACAGUUAAGUUCCCUUGUUUCAAUUCCAAAAACUCAAUCUCUUUCUUACCAGAUACAUCUUAUGGAAAAU